CACGGAGGGUGCAAGCGUUAUUCGGAAUCACUGGGCGUAAAGCGCGCGUAGGCGGUCUCUUAAGUCAGAUGUGAAAGCCCGGGGCUUAACCCCGGAAGUGCGUUUGAAACUAAGAGACUUGAGUAUGGGAGAGGGAAGUGGAAUUCCUGGUGUAGCGGUGAAAUGCGUAGAUAUCAGGAGGAACACCGGUGGCGAUGGCGACUUCCUGGACCAAUACUGACGCUGAGGCGCGAAGGCGUGGGGAGCAAACAGG
rnacentral:rRNA from 1 species